CCUACGGGGGGCAGCAGUGAGGAAUAUUGGUCAAUGGACGAGAGUCUGAACCAGCCAAGUAGCGUGAAGGAUGACUGCCCUAUGGGUUGUAAACUUCUUUUAUAUGGGAAUAAAACGUUCCACGUGUGGGAUUUUGUAUGUACCAUAUGAAUAAGGAUCGGCUAACUCCGUGCCAGCAGCCGCGGUAAUACGGAGGAUCCGAGCGUUAUCCGGAUUUAUUGGGUUUAAAGGGAGCGUAGGUGGAUUGUUAAGUCAGUUGUGAAAGUUUGCGGCUCAACCGUAAAAUUGCAGUUGAAACUGGCAGUCUUGAGUACAGUAGAGGUGGGCGGAAUUCGUGGUGUAGCGGUGAAAUGCUUAGAUAUCACGAAGAACUCCGAUUGCGAAGGCAGUUCACUGAACUGCAACUGACACUGAGGCUCGAAAGUGUGGGUAUCAAACAGGAUUAGAUACCCCUGUAGUC
rnacentral:rRNA from 1 species